rnacentral:misc_RNA from 1 species
CUUGGCAAGAAGCUUCUCAGUUAAUGAUGCUAGACUCCACUUCUUGGGAUCAUCAAGCUUUUUGUUGGCAAGUUCGGAAAGAUCUUCCAAAGCCUUCACAGAUACAUUGUGAUCUUGGCGAACUUUGAAAGCAUCAUUUGCAAUGCAAACACCCACCUUCACAACAGUUGGAUCCUCAAGAAGAGAUUGCAGAGUUUGAGGGAUUCCGGAGUGGAUGAUAUGCAAAACAUAACAAUUACCCUUGUCACCACCUGGGAAGGCUGCUGUUAUGCAGAUA